rnacentral:rRNA from 1 species
AGAGUUUGAUCAUGGCUCAGGAUGAACGCUAGCGGCAGGCUUAAUACAUGCAAGUCGAGGGGGAUCAGUUGGGUAGCAAUACCCGGCUGUGAGACCGGCAAACGGGUGCGGAACACGUACGCAACCUUCCCAAAACUGGUGAAUAGCCCUCCGAAAGGAGGAUUAAUACACCGUAACAUAACGAGAUGGCAUCAUCUUGUUAUUAUAGCUCCGGCGGUUUUGGAUGGGCGUGCGCCUGAUUAGGUAGUUGGCGGGGUAACGGCCCACCAAGCCUACGAUCAGUAACUGGUGUGAGAGCACGACCAGUCACACGGGCACUGAGACACGGGCCCGACUCCUACGGGAGGCAGCAGUAAGGAAUAUUGGUCAAUGGACGAAAGUCUGAACCAGCCAUGCCGCGUGAAGGAUGAAGGUCCUCUGGAUUGUAAACUUCUUUUAUCUGGGACGAAAAAAGGUCAUUCCUGACCACUUGACGGUACCAGAGGAAUAAGCACCGGCUAACUCCGUGCCAGCAGCCGCGGUAAUACGGAGGGUGCAAGCGUUAUCCGGAUUUACUGGGUUUAAAGGGUGCGUAGGUGGGUUAGUAAGUCAGUGGUGAAAUCUUCGAGCUUAACUCGGAAACUGCCGUUGAUACUAUUAAUCUUGAAUAUUCUGGAGGUGAGCGGAAUAUGUCAUGUAGCGGUGAAAUGCUUAGAUAUGACAUAGAACACCGAUUGCGAAGGCAGCUCACUACGGAAUCAUUGACACUGAGGCACGAAAGCGUGGGGAUCAAACAGGAUUAGAUACCCUGGUAGUCCACG